rnacentral:rRNA from 1 species
CCUACGGGUGGCAGCAGUGAGGAAUAUUGGUCAAUGGACGAGAGUCUGAACCAGCCAAGUAGCGUGAAGGAUGACUGCCCUCUGGGUUGUAAACUUCUUUUAUAAAGGACUAAAACGAGGCCCGUGUGCCUUUUUUCAUGUACUUUAUGACUAAGGAUCGGCUAACUCCGUUCCAGCAGCCGCGGUAAUACGGAGGAUCCGAGAGUUAUCCGGAUUUCUUGGGUUUCAAGGGAGCGUAGAUGGGUUGAUAAGUCAGUUGUGAAAGUUUGCGGCUCAACCGUAGAAUUGCAAUUGAUACUGGCAGUCUUGAGUACAGGUGAGGUAGGCGGAAUUCGUGGUGUAGCGGUGAAAUGCUUAGAUAUCACGAAGAACCCCGAUUGCGAAGGCAGCUUACUAAACUGUGACUGACAUUGAUGCUCGAAAGUGUGGGUAUCAAACAGGAUUAGAUACCCGAGUAGUC